AUGUGUCUGUGUGUACGAAAACAAACAAUGCAAACAAGUGUAACAGCACCUGUGGGCAACCUGAGGGAGUCUACUGCUCUGUUUAUUGAUCAGACAGGAUUACAGGGGACAGUCAGACAGAGGUCAAGAAGACUGAUCAGCUGCAUUCAUCAUCCACACACACAGCUGAGGCCACAUAGGCUACAUUUACACAGGCAGCCAUACACACCGAGUGUCAUGGAUAAGUCCCUUAAUCAAUCAAUUCAUGUAAUAGUUAAUACACAACAGUAUAAUGACGUCACACCCCUAGCCACUGAUCUAAGGCCAGUGUAGCAUUCUCUCCAAUGGUUAAGUUAGUAUUUCGGGAGAGGAAGCUGAUCCUAGAUCUGUGUCUAACGGUUACUUCUACCUGAAGUCUUCAGUGCGGCCUAUUAAACAAACAGAUGACUUGUGCAGAAACCUUUCAAUGGAAGUUCCCCUGAAACAUGAGCUCUUUCCUUCUUGACCCUUUCGAGUCAGGGCCAGACCGUAACAUUCACAUGAUGUAAACAUGUUUCUGUAGUGUAGAUUUUGCUUCAUGCGUGGGAAUCCAUAUUGUGUUUGUGCCAGUCAGCCUCUGUUUUAGCCAAGCUGUCCUGUCUAAACCUUCAUGUGUUCUUUUUAAUACAGGAACAGCCAGUCAGUCUAGGUAAAACAAGGGUGUGACUGUAAACUGAAGUGUGUUUACAUUGGAGUUAUUUUAGUCAAAUGCAGAGCGACAUACAGGAGCAAUCAGGAUUAAGUGCGUCGCUCAAGGGCUCAUCAGUAUAUGUUAAAACCUGGUCGGCUCGUGGAUUUGAAUCAGCAACCUUUCAGUUACGGUCCAAACGCUCUUAAGCGCUAAGCUACCUGUCACCUGUGUGGGCUAACCCAUCCAAGAAUUUGAUCUACUCAAAGCAAAAGUACAAAGUGAGAUCUGGGCAAACCCCCCACCCCACCCCACCCCACUCUCCUUACAUCAGUGCAAAUAACAAGGCAAGAUGGAAUUUAUCUUCCAAUGAAUUGUCCAAAGAUCCAUGGUGAUUCUCUCCAUUCUUUCUAUAUACCAAAGCCAAAGUGAAAACCAACCAACGUUAGUACUGUAGGGGUUCAGGAAUCACUUUAACUCAAUAGUUCCUCUCAGAAUAUAUUUACUGUACUUUACAACUUGCUGGCAGCAAUAUAUUUAAGUUAUAUAUUUAUUUAAGUCUAUAUUUUGAGAGAAAUUCCUGAUUUCAAACCUCAAGAAGAGGUUACGUCUCUACCAGUUCACAAAAUGACAAACUGAUACUAGGCCUGGGGUUAAGGCGAUCUUGUGCCUGAAGCCUAUAAACAAUUGUCUGGGUUUACACAAAUGCCCCCUAAAGGCCCACUGUCACUCACACCUGGCCAAAUGAUAUUACUCAAGAGCUUUAUUGGGAUGGUCACAGUGCCCCCUGGUGGGGCUUACAGUGAACAACAUUCUCAUCCAGAUACAUUAAAACGCAAGAAUUAACACUACAGGUAGACUCCGUAAUAGAUCAUCAUACAAAGCUGGGCGACUUCCCGCUAACACAUAACAAUAACAGAAUCCAAAUCUGCCAAGAUGACCGCCACUACUGGCUAUUUCCAAUCUGCGCCUCAAUUAGACAGUCUUGUUGUUAAUUUCCGAAAGCAGGAAGUGGCCAACUGUCUGUGUAUGAUGAGGUCAUAGUCUGCCUUUAAGAACACCGACAGAACAGCUGUCGUCAAAUUCAUCCCAACAAUACUCUAUGAAAGGUGCUGGACACUUCACAUAUUUCACAACUAAAUCCGCUGGAGUAAAACAGAAGCAUCUCUUUCAGGUUGACGUUUAUGUGCGUUAUAUGGGUAUACAUUGAACACGUACCGUCAAUACAUCACAUAUUCACUUUCAUAGUGUAUUGUAAAUUCUCAGUUUCAAACAGUUUAGCAGAGAUGUUGAUGGUUGAGCCACAGAUGAAAGUGUCUUAUUGGCAGUCUGAACGGGGUAAAUAAGGUGGGUAUUGGUUGGUUUAUGUGCGUGUCGAUUCUUCCUAAUUUCUCCCUCGCUCUGAACACCUGCUCCAAAGGAAAAGGAAGGAGGUUGAUAGAUUUAAAAAAAAAAGGAAGAUAUGGUGAAGAGAUAUGGCUGAAAGAAAAUAGGACAUGAUUUAUUUUUCCUCCCGCUGCAGCGCGACCCUCUUCUCGUGCUGGUGCUUGGUGAUUCCGUACUUGAAGAACUCAUAGACGGACCAGCUGAUGGCUGUGGAGGGCAUCUGAUAGAUCACCCUGGCCUGGACUCCUUUAAAGAACCCAGGCAGGCCACCCAGCCUGUACACUGUCCGGAAGGCAUGGGCCAGGCCCGUGAUGUGUCUGUGUGUCCCCUGACCUCCACCCUGGCCUGCAGCGGGGAGCCCCACCAGGGACUCCUGGGUGUUGAGCAGGGUCUUGCAGACAUCCAGAGGGGUGGUGGCUGCAGCAGCGAUGGCNNNNNNNNNNNNNNNNNNNNNNNNNNNNNNNNNNNNNNNNNNNNNNNNNNNNNNNNNNNNNNNNNNNNNNNNNNNNNNNNNNNNNNNNNNNNNUGCAGGGAAUGAACGAAAAAGCAGAGGAGAAAUCCUCUAGUUCUCUCUAGUGGUAAAACAGGACAUCAUCACUGCUGAUGGACCAGUUAAAACUUCUCUUCCUCUACUCGGCACAUCUGCAAUCUCUUACCCUGCCUCUCCCCUGACUUGGAAACAAGGGAGGGGGGAAGAAGAGAGAAGACAGCUGACCUGGGAAGAAGAGAGAGAAAAAGCAGAGAAGACAGCUGACCUGAGAAGAAGAGAGAAAAAGCAGAGAAGACAGCUGACCUGGGAAGAAGAGAGAGAGGAAAAGCAGAGAAGACAGCUGACCUGGGAAGAAGAGAAAGAGGAAAAGCAGAGAAGACAGCUGACCUGGGAAGAAGAGAGAGAGGAAAAGCAGAGAAGACAGCUGACCUGAGAAGAAGAGAGAGAGGAAAAGCAGAGAAGACAGCUGACCUGAGAAGAAGAGAGAGAGGAAAAGCAGAGNNNNNNNNNNAUCUCCCCCUCCACCUAGCUAGCAGGUAGAAUAAACAGGCUAGGCCAAUGAGGUACAAGGUGCUAAACCUGCAGAGAGAGCUCUGACACAGUGGUUUAUCUGCAGCAAACAACAUCUCAGUGUCCUUAACUUCUUGAGUGUAGGUAGCAGGAUUUUCGUUUUUGGCUAAAAGACGUACCCAUUUGAAACUGCCUAUUUCUCAGGCCCAGAAACAAGAAUAUGCACAAUUGUCAGAUUAGGAUAGAAAACACUCUAAAGUCUCCAAAACUGUCAAAAUAUUGUCUGUGAGUAUAACAGAACUGAUAUUGCAGGCGAAAACCUGAGGAAAAUCAAACCAGGAAGUGCUGUUUUUCCUGAAAGCUCUCUGUUCCAUUGGAUGGCUUGCCUCCAUUUAAAGGGAUAUCAACCAGAUUGCUUUUCCUAUGGCUUCCUCAAGGUGUCAGUCUUUAGACAGUUUCAAGCUUUUAUUUUGAAAAAAUGAGCGAGAAAGAUAACAUCGCGUCAGUGGAUAGCUGGGUGUUGGAUAGCUGAGUUUUGCUUGCGCAACAGAGUGGGGCAGCCAUUGUCUCUCCCUCUCCUAUUGAAAAAGCGACAGUCCCGGUUGAUAUAUUAUCGAUUAUAUAUUUUUUAAACAACCUGAGGAUUGAUUAUAAAAAAACGUUUGACAUGUUUCUGUGGACAUUACGGAUACUAUUUGGAAUUUUCGUCUGUGAUGUUGUGACCGCUUGCGCCUGUGGAUUUCUGAACAUAAUGUGCCAAACAAAUGGAGGUAUUUUGGAUAUAAAAAUAAUCUUUAUGGAACAUUUAUUGUGUAACUGGGAGUCUCGUGAGUACAAACAUCCGAAGAUCAUCAAAGGUAAGCGAUUUAAUCUAUUGCUUUUCUGACCUUCGUGACCAAUCUACUUGGCUGCUAGCUAUUUGUAAUAUUUUGUUGACUGAGAGAGAUGUUCUUACAUAAACGCUUGUUAUGCUUUCGCCGAAAAGCUGUAUUGAAAUCUGACACGCCAGGUGGAUUAACAACAAGCUACGCUGUGUUUUGCUAUAUUGCACUUGUGAUUUCAUGAAAAUGAAAUAUUUUUAGUAAUUUAAUUUGAAUUUGGUGCUCUGCAGUUCAGCGGGUGUUGAUGAAAAUGAUCCCGCUAAAGGGAUGGGUGCGUCAAGAAGUUUAAUACACCCUAUGCAUCAGAAGGAGAAAAGCAGGUUCAAAACAGUGCCGUGAGACCUGUGUCCCUGGCCCAGGGAAAGAGAGAGAUUAUUUAUAGACAGAGAAAUGUACCUUCAGAUGGGUUCAUGGCUGCGUCAUGAAGCAAUGUGGCUACACACCCUGCCGUACCUGUAACACACACACACACACACACACCCCAAUGGUGAACAACAACAAGAGAGAGAGAAAGAUUGCAGGGAAUGAACGAAAAAGCAGAGGAGAAAUCCUCUAGUUCUCUCUAGUGGUAAAACAGGACAUCAUCACUGCUGAUGGACCAGUUAAAACUUCUCUUCCUCUACUCGGCACAUCUGCAAUCUCUUACCCUGCCUCUCCCCUGACUUGGAAACAAGGGAGGGGGGAAGAAGAGAGAAGACAGCUGACCUGGGAAGAAGAGAGAGAAAAAGCAGAGAAGACAGCUGACCUGAGAAGAAGAGAGAAAAAGCAGAGAAGACAGCUGACCUGGGAAGAAGAGAGAGAGGAAAAGCAGAGAAGACAGCUGACCUGGGAAGAAGAGAAAGAGGAAAAGCAGAGAAGACAGCUGACCUGGGAAGAAGAGAGAGAGGAAAAGCAGAGAAGACAGCUGACCUGAGAAGAAGAGAGAGAGGAAAAGCAGAGAAGACAGCUGACCUGAGAAGAAGAGAGAGAGGAAAAGCAGA
rnacentral:lncRNA from 13 species